UGGGGAAUAUUGCACAAUGGGCGCAAGCCUGAUGCAGCCAUGCCGCGUGUGUGAAGAAGGCCUUCGGGUUGUAAAGCACUUUCAGCGAGGAGGAAGGGUAGUGUGUUAAUAGCACAUUGCAUUGACGUUACUCGCAGAAGAAGCACCGGCUAACUCCGUGCCAGCAGCCGCGGUAAUACGGAGGGUGCAAGCGUUAAUCGGAAUUACUGGGCGUAAAGCGCACGCAGGCGGUUUGUUAAGUCAGAUGUGAAAUCCCCGCGCUUAACGUGGGAACUGCAUUUGAAACUGGCAAGCUAGAGUCUUGUAGAGGGGGGUAGAAUUCCAGGUGUAGCGGUGAAAUGCGUAGAGAUCUGGAGGAAUACCGGUGGCGAAGGCGGCCCCCUGGACAAAGACUGACGCUCAGGUGCGAAAGCGUGGGGAGCGAACA
rnacentral:rRNA from 1 species